AUGGGGGUGGGACGGGAGAAGAUGGUGAUGACGUCAGGGUAUGCGUGUGAAGGCAAGGAAGGAAGGAAGGGGAUCUGCCGUCUCUCAUCUUCUUCUUCCUCCUCUUUUUUCUUGUCUUGUCUUAUCUUCCCUAAGCAGGCAGAGCAGAGCAGAGGUAGAGCAGAGCCCGGCAGAAAGGGGGUGGCGAUGGCGGCGGUGCUGAAGGUGUACGCGGACCGGCUGUCGCAGCCGUCGCGCGCCAUCAUCAUCUUCUGCAAGGUCAACCGGAUCGACUUCCAGGAGCUCACCGUGGAUCUCGCCAAGGGACAACACCGCGCACACGAAUUCACCAUAUUAUUUCCUUGCGUAGAAAUCAACCCCAUGGCGCAGGUCCCAACAAUCGUUGAUGGAAGAUUCAAACUCUUUGAAAGUCAUGCCAUUCUGAGGUAUCUCGCCACCGUCUUCCCCGGGGUUCCACAUCACUGGUAUCCAGCCGACUUAUUUACCAGAGCAAAACUCGAGUCCGUCUUGGAUUGGCAUCACUCUAAUCUGCGCCGUGGUGCAGCAACCUAUGUACUGCACACCGCGUUGGGUCCUGCUCUCGGCCUCACACCCAGUCCUGAGGCUGCAAAAGAGGCCGAGAAGUUGCUGUCACGAUCACUGGGAACGAUCGAAACCGUGUGGCUCAAAGGCGAUGCCAAAUUCUUGAAUGGCAACCCCCAGCCAUCCAUCGCAGACCUCAGCCUUGUGUGCGAGAUAAUGCAGCUGGAGGUUGUUGGUGACGAGAGACGUGACAGAAUUCUGGGACCUCAUGAGAAGGUUCGUGCUUGGAUGGAGAAUGUGAAGAAGGCCACCAGCCCUCAUUUUGAUGAAGUUCAUCAGCUCAUCUUCAAACUGAAGGCGCGCUUGAACCCAGCAUCCAAGCUCUGA
rnacentral:rRNA from 1 species